rnacentral:rRNA from 1 species
UACGGAAGGCAGCAGUGGGGAAUAUUGCACAAUGGGCGCAAGCCUGAUGCAGCCAUGCCGCGUGUAUGAAGAAGGCCUUCGGGUUGUAAAGUACUUCCAGUCGUGAGGAAGGUGUUAAGGUUAAUAACCUUAGCAAUUGACGUUAGCGACAGAAGAAGCACCGGCUAACUCCGUGCCAGCAGCCGCGGUAAUACGGAGGGUGCGAGCGUUAAUCGGAAUUACUGGGCGUAAAGGGCACGCAGGCGGUUAAUUAAGUUGGAUGUGAAAUCCCCGGGCUUAACCUGGGAAUGGCAUUCAAGACUGGUUAGCUAGAGUCUUGUAGAGGGGGUAGAAUUCCAUGUGUAGCGGUGAAAUGCGUAGAGAUGUGGAGGAAUACCGGUGGCGAAGGCGGCCCCUGGACAAAGACUGACGCUCAUGUGCGAAAGCGUGGGGAGCAAACAGGGAUUAGAUACC